CUCUCAUUGAAAAACUAAAGGUGACACAUAGGAAUAAAGAGAGUACUUAAUAAUGAUCUAUAUAAGAGAGAGAGCCUGAUGCUUCCUUUAUUCAUUCAUCUCACUAUAUCAAAAAUUCCUGUUAGAAGAUUAACAAAAUAAGAUGGAAAAUUUGUUUACAGUUCUUUUUCUCCUUGUGUUGUUUUCCAUGGGCAGUGCAGAAGCAAAGGAUUGUUAUGAAUGGAGCAAAACAUUUAAGGGGGGAUGUUAUGAUAAUGGAAAGUGUAACCAAAGCUGCACAAGUGAGGGUUUCACCAGCGGAAAGUGCACACUCUUUUUUAGAAGAUAUUGGAGAUGCUAUUGCACAAAGCAAUGUCCUUUUAAUGCUCUUCUACCAUAAUUAGUAAUUUUUAUUUUUUAAAAUUAUGUGUUUAUGAGACUUAAGUAAAGAGACAUGGUUAAUUUGCCUCUAACCUAAUGUAUCCUUUGAUGAUAUAUUAUGGAAUAGCAUUUUGGAGCUUUUAAUUAA